GCUUACCAUGCAGUCGAGCGGAACGAUGAUAGCUUGCUAUCAGGCGUCGAGCGGCGGACGGGUGAGUAAUACUUAGGAAUCUACCUAGUAGUGGGGGAUAGCACGGGGAAACUCGUAUUAAUACCGCAUACGACCUACGGGAGAAAGGGGGCAGUUUACUGCUCUCGCUAUUAGAUGAGCCUAAGUCGGAUUAGCUAGAUGGUGGGGUAAAGGCCUACCAUGGCGACGAUCUGUAGCUGGUCUGAGAGGAUGAUCAGCCACACCGGGACUGAGACACGGCCCGGACUCCUACGGGAGGCAGCAGUGGGGAAUAUUGGACAAUGGGGGAAACCCUGAUCCAGCCAUGCCGCGUGUGUGAAGAAGGCCUUUUGGUUGUAAAGCACUUUAAGCAGUGAAGAAGACUCCGUGGUUAAUACCCACGGACGAUGACAUUAGCUGCAGAAUAAGCACCGGCUAACUCUGUGCCAGCAGCCGCGGUAAUACAGAGGGUGCAAGCGUUAAUCGGAAUUACUGGGCGUAAAGGGAGCGUAGGUGGCUCUAUAAGUCAGAUGUGAAAUCCCCGGGCUCAACCUGGGAACUGCAUCUGAAACUGUAGAGCUAGAGUAUGUGAGAGGAAGGUAGAAUUCCAGGUGUAGCGGUGAAAUGCGUAGAGAUCUGGAGGAAUACCGAUGGCGAAGGCAGCCUUCUGGCAUAAUACUGACACUGAGGCUCGAAAGCGUGGGUAGCAAACAGGAUUAGAUACCCUGGUAGUCCACGCCGUAAACGAUGUCUACUAGUCGUUGGGUCCCUUGAGGACUUAGUGACGCAGCUAACGCAAUAAGUAGACCGCCUGGGGAGUACGGCCGCAAGGUUAAAACUCAAAUGAAUUGACGGGGGCCCGCACAAGCGGUGGAGCAUGUGGUUUAAUUCGAUGCAACGCGAAGAACCUUACCUGGUCUUGACAUAUCUAGAAUCCUGCAGAGAUGCGGGAGUGCCUUCGGGAAUUAGAAUACAGGUGCUGCAUGGCUGUCGUCAGCUCGUGUCGUGAGAUGUUGGGUUAAGUCCCGCAACGAGCGCAACCCUUGUCCUUAGUUACCAGCGGGUUAAGCCGGGAACUCUAAGGAUACUGCCAGUGACAAACUGGAGGAAGGCGGGGACGACGUCAAGUCAUCAUGGCCCUUACGACCAGGGCUACACACGUGCUACAAUGGUAGGUACAGAGGGCAGCUACACAGCGAUGUGAUGCGAAUCUCAAAAAGCCUAUCGUAGUCCAGAUUGGAGUCUGCAACUCGACUCCAUGAAGUAGGAAUCGCUAGUAAUCGCGGAUCAGAAUGCCGCGGUGAAUACGUUCCCGGGCCUUGUACACACCGCCCGUCACACCAUGGGAGUUGAUUGCACCAGAAGUGGAUAGCUUAACCUUCGGGGGAGCGUCAC
rnacentral:rRNA from 1 species